AUUGAACGCUGGCGGCAGGCCUAACACAUGCAAGUCGAGCGAGCGGCGGACGGGAGAGUAAUGUAUGGGGACUGCCCGAUAGAGGGGGAUAACUACGGGAAACGGUAGCUAAUACCGCAUACUAUCGGAUAACCCAUAUGGGAUUAGCUAGUAGGUGAGGUAAUGGCUCACCUAGGCGACGAGCCCUAGCUGGUCUGAGAGGAUGAUCAGCCACACUGGGAUUGAGACACGGCCCAGAUGCCUCCGGAGUAAGAAGUGGGGAAUAUUGCACAAUGGGCGCAGGCCUGAUGCAGCCAUGCCUCGUGUAUGAAGAAGGCCCUAGGGUUGUAAAGUACUUUCAGUCGGGAGGCGUUACCGACAGAAGAAGCACCGGCUAACGCCGUGCCAGCAGCCGCGGUAAUAC
rnacentral:rRNA from 1 species